GCCUCUGUUAUGUAGUGGUAGCACGCGCCUCCCGUAUGGGUGAAACGCGGGUUCAACUCCCGCCUGAGGCC